UUUUCUCUCCCCUGUCCAGUUGAGGAGGGGAGUAAAAGAGGGGCUUUGGUGGAUGCUUGGCAUCUAGCCAGGGUCAACUCAACACAAGAGGAAAUUUCUCAGAAAUCUUUCUAUAAAAGCAACUACUUUUACAUGUGAGAUGCAAAUAGCAGUGAAAGAAAGAGCUCCACACUGGACAAAAAGAGAGACUUUCUGUUGUGCCAUGAACCAAAUAGCAGAAGGAAAUAUGUGAAGAAUGAAGAAAAGAAAGUCAAGAAGAGAGAGAGAAUAAUUCAAGGAUAGCAAAAUUCUGUAUUAUAUUACAUUACACUGGAAUAGGCUUCCUAGCGAGGUGGAUGUCCCAAGCCCAUCAAUAUUUAAGAGGCAUUUGGACAAUGAACUUGUGCAGAAUAAGGAAAAAAAAAUUAUUUGGAGUACUAAGCACUGAAAUUGCAAUCCACAUCUCAUUCAGAGAUACAGAUCAGUUUGAUAUAGUUUUCAGGACUGCAGAAAGAUAAGUAUUGUAGCAAAUAUUUUAGGAACUUUGUGGAUUAAUAGAAUUUUUAUUGCUUGGUGUCUUUUUUUAACAGUAAUCUCACUGGAUCAAUGUUUGAAAAGUAAUUUUUCAGCCUUUAAUAAUCUUAAAAACAAAAGAUAAUAUAUGUCCAAUUAUGCUCUGGGGUUUAACAAGUAUUACAGUUUUGGUUUUUAUCUUAAUAGGAAAAAAUAUCUACUUACAUUUUAUGAACUGAAAAUAUAGCAUGAAUUGUUAUCAAUGCAGCUUUUGAAUUCUUAUUUUCCCAGAAAAAAAGUAAUUUUUGGAAAACUUCGUUUGAGAUUCUUUAGUCCAUUUGUCAUGGUGGGAUAUUUGGUGUCUCAAACUUUCCAAUUCAGACAGGGAAAUCUUAAUUGGAAGGGCUGAAUGAUUAAUGAAUUGCAACAAAAAGAGACCAGGGAUUAGCCUGCCUUCUGGCCAAAAACUGUUGUUUAAUUCUAGGCGUAUUGAUUAGCUGUAUAGUUAUUGACAAAAGAAUUAAUUUAAGUACUUUAAGUCAAUGUUUCUUUAGUUGAAAACUUUACCUUUAGACACAAGGAAAUGCCAGUACAAAACUAGUCAAUUAAUAUACUAUCAAAGUAAAGUCAGAGGAGAAAAGGCUCUAUGUCUUCACAUGUUAAAUUUUAGGUAUGACUUUUUUGUGUCAUGUUAAUUUUCUAAGAGUCAUCAAGGAACAAUAUUUAAAAUUCAUAAUUGUGGGUUUAGUGAUGUUUGCUAAUUAUUUCAUGUUUCCUCUGAACUUUAAAGAUUCUUCUAAAACAUACUUUGUUUUCUUCAGUUUGAAUUUCAGCACCUGACAUUAUUUUAAAUUAUAUGCCUUGCUGAUUCUGAAACACAUUUUUAAUCAUUAUUUUUUUAUGUUUCAGAAUUCUGUAGGCCAUUCAAUUUCCCCUAUUGUUGAAAGCUGUUUAAUUCACAAUGCCUUGAGUACAGGCCCGUCAUCUAUUCUAUAGUGACUAUACCACUUAAUAAUGGAAUAGUGCAUCAAAGUGCCACUUAGGUCUCAAAUUGUUAUGUAUGACUGUCAAAGCGGUGAAAAAAGCAAAAAGAGAAAAAAAAAAGGAAAAAAAAAA
ensembl:lncRNA